CGUAGGCAGCAAGCGUUGUUCGGAGUUACUGGGCGUAAAGAGUAUGUAGGCGGUUGGGUAAGUUUGGUGUGAAAUCUCCCGGCUUAACUGGGAGGGUGCGCUAAAGACUGCCUGGCUUGAGUGUGGGAGAGGAAAGCGGAAUUCCUGGUGUAGCGGUGAAAUGCGUAGAUAUCAGGAGGAACACCUGCGGUGUAGACGGCUUUCUGGACCAUAACUGACGCUGAGAUACGAAAGCGUGGGUAGCAAACAGGAUUAGAUACCCUGGUAGUCCACGCCCUAAACGAUGCAUACUUGGUGUUGGCCAUUCACUUGGUCAGUGCCGGAGCUAACGCGUUAAGUAUGCCGCCUGGGGAGUACGGUCGCAAGGCUG
rnacentral:rRNA from 1 species